GGGUACCCAUCUCUUGAAAGUGGUUUAUUGAGACUCAUUGAGAUUUGUCAACUGAGACCUUGCCGGCUACUUUGAGAGUUGUUGGAGAGCAAACUUAGACGAUUCUCCAUAACUAUUCGCAAGCAGCUGAGUAGGAAUCUAUUAUUUGAUUCAAGUCCCAACAAACUUCUUUUUUUUGGUAGGCCUCUUUGAUCGAGGACC